CGCGGUAAUACGGAGGGUGCAAGCGUUAUCCGGGAUUUAUUGGGUUUAAAGGGUGCGUAGGCGGUUUGAUAAGUCAGCGGUGAAAUAUUUCAGCUUAACUGGAAGGGUGCCGUUGAUACUGUCAGGCUUGAAUUUAGUUGCUGUGGGUGGAAUGUGUGGUGUAGCGGUGAAAUGCAUAGAUAUCACACAGAAUAUCGAUUGCGAAGGCAGCUCACAAAGCUAAAAUUGACGCUGAUGCACGAAAGUGUGGGGAUCAAACAGGAUUAGAUACCCUGGUAGUCCACACUGUAAACGAUGAUAACUCGCUGUCGGCGAUACAUAGUCGGUGGCCAAGCGAAAGCGAUAAGUUAUCCACCUGGGGAGUACGACCGCAAGGUUGAAACUCAAAGGAAUUGACGGGGGCCCGCACAAGCGGAGGAACAUGUGGUUUAAUUCGAUGAUACGCGAGGAACCUUACCCGGGCUCGAACGGUGCAUGAAUGAUUCAGAGAUGGAUUAGUCCUUCGGGACAUGUAUCGAGGUGCUGCAUGGUUGUCGUCAGCUCGUGCCGUGAGGUGUCGGCUUAAGUGCCAUAACGAGCGCAACCCUUGUCGUUAGUUACCAUCAAGUAAUGUUGGGGACUCUAGCGAGACUGCCACCGUAAGGUGUGAGGAAGGGGGGGAUGACGUCAAAUCAGCACGGCCCUUACGUCCGGGGCGACACACGUGUUACAAUGGUAGGUACAGAGGGCAGCUACCCAGUGAUGGGGUGCGAAUCUCAAAAACCUAUCUCAGUUCGGAUUGGAGUCUGCAACUCGACUCCAUGAAGUUGGAUUCGCUAGUAAUCGCGCAUCAGCCAUGGCGCGGUGAAUACGUUCCCGGGCCUUGUACACACCGCCCGUCAAGCCAUGGAAGCCGGGGGUGCCUGAAGU
rnacentral:rRNA from 1 species